ensembl:misc_RNA
GACUGAACAUCUGUUUCUAGAAUAGGUCAUAAUGAGGCCAUUGAGAGAGUUCUGCGACUCCAAUCUGUUCCCUUCUAGGGUGGGUAAGUCCUGUUCUGAAAUUCCCAUUCAGG